CACUGUAUACAUGAAUAAAGUAAAUGUAGGCCUACCUAAAAAAGCCACUUCACAAUUAUUAUAGGUCAAUCGAUAUCGAUAUGAAAUGCAUUGUCCUCUGCCUGGGUUUCUAGUGUAGUGUGUGCCUGGAUAGUGUUGGAUCUGUGUGAUACGUUUGUUUUGCAGAGUUUGCAACUGCAACUAAGCUAUAUAUCCUACAGGCAGCUUCCUUUAUAGUCAGUGGAAAACCGAAGCCAGAUAUGAGUGAUAUAACCGCCUAUUAUUCUAAAGGAGCAGCGAACUAUGACGGUCUCUACAAACAUCGGCACUUCUUUGAUCAGCCCUUUGGUGAGGAUUUAAAGAGAAUGACCAACCCUUCUCCCGGUCUCGAUAUAGUCGACAUGGCCUGCGGGACCGGAUACCUGUCUAAGGUGUUAGACAAACAAGGUAUCAAAACUACUAUUCUAGUGGAGCCAUGUAAAGAAUUGUUAACAUUGAGUGAGUCUGCCUUUCCGUCGGCCAAGGCCUACUGCAUGGAUGCGCUUGAGUUCUCGAAGCAACCGAUCAAGUAUGACCGUAUUGUGAUCAACGGAGCUUUCCACCUUUUCCCACUGGGCACGCUUGAGGAGACAGUCCUCAACUUCCGGUCGCAGUUGCGUAGUGGUGGGAUGGUCAUCAUCAUAUCACAAAUUAUCAGUCCUAUGUUUAAAGCUGCACGAGGAAUCGUUCACGACACCAGCUACGCGGGUAUCAAAGCUCUUAAAGCUGCUGGCUUUGAAGUCGCGUCCGAACCGAUGGUAACCAGGUACCAGUUCGAAAUACCACGAGAAGACUACGAAAAAUUGCAUAGAUCACGUUUCCUCUCCGAAGAACGCGAACUUACAGAUGACGAGAUUGAACGUGGAAUAAAUGAGAUGAAUUUGUCCGACCCAGUUGUGUGCGAGUACAAGCACAUAUGGGUCAUUGCUUCAAAACAGUAGGCCUAAUUAGUACUCAAGGGCUGAAUAGGGAAGAAUUCGACAAACACACUUUUAGAAAUCGAGAAUAUUACUUUGACAACAUUUCCUUCACCAUUCGCAUCAAUCCUGACAGCGCCGCUAAUUCUUUGCUCGGCACUAAUCUACCGAGUGAUAAAAACGUUUUGUUUUUGAGUAAGGUUAAUAGAAUAUUUUCGUGAUUGGCUCAAAACCCCCAAAUAAUUGAUUUGCAUCGUUUAGAUACCAUACCAUACUUUUUACAUUUAUAUCAAUGGAAGACCAAAGGCUGAAACUUCUUUUACACACUAUCUGGUUGUCAGUAGGGUGAAGCGAAAAGGCGAGAGGACAAAGCUAAGGCUAAAUUAGGUCCAUUAUCAACAAAUCCCUUCCUAAAUCUGUACUAUUGGUGAAGGAUACGCUGAUACGGAUAUAAGCAGACCACAUUAAAGGCCAUCCCUGGCUCAAAGCAAGCCUUGGGCGAUCCUUAGAGACUUGAGACGAAAUCUUGGGAGACUGAUCCUCCUGCUGAGGUCAUUUAAUCGAGUGUGGUUUUGAUAUCGCUUCAAAGUUACCCGAUGGAGUCUUAAGUCAUUUCUUCUUUGAGGUUUUCUAACUAUUCAUCAAUUUACUUGUAUGUAGCCAAACAAAGCGAAUGUUACCAAACAAAGCGAAUGUUAAAGAUAAUAAAUGAUAAUAAAUAGGAAAAUGUGUCUGAGUGAUGUCUUUUCUUUCAAGCAAACCUCUUGCAACUAUCUUGCAUGUCAAGGCAAAGCUUCUUCUCUGUCUUUUUAAAAAAAGGAAGAAAUUCAAAAGACGCCAGCACGGUUAGGUUUCUUCACCGAUGAGGAUGUAAAAACUCGAUUUCUUAGAGUGGUCUUAAAGCAGAGUUUCCUAGUUGGCCAUUACAGAAUAAAAUGUAUUGAAUGGUGCGAUAUCGUUCUUUUAACGACAUGCAUGUAUAGUGAAAACAUUUCACUCCACCACUGACCCUUAACAAAUGGUGGUCGACUGCCUAAAUAACCAGCAAUCAUGAUUGCUCGAGUGUGGCCCAGCGGUCAAGAAGUAUCCUACCCCGGAGAAGCCUAAUUACUCUGUUAAUAAUCGACCCACUGGACGUUGGUUGUUAACGACUGUCAACCAACCAACCAACAUGUAUGUUAAUACCAUGUAGGCCUACACAGUAUAGGUAUGUUUAUACACUGUACACUGUCUACAUGAAUAAAGUAAAUGUACCUAAAAAAAGCCACUUCAUAAUUAUCAUAGGGUAAUCGAUAUCGAUAUGAAAUGUAUUGUCCUCUGCCUGGGUUUCUAGUGUAGUGUGUGCCUGGAUAGUGUUGGAUCUGUGUGAUACGUUUGUUUUGCAGAGUUUGCAACUGCAACUAAGCUAUAUAUCCUACAGGCAGCUUCCUUUAUAGUCAGUGGAAAACCGAAGCCAGAUAUGAGUGAUAUAACCGCCUAUUAUUCUAAAGGAGCAGCGAACUAUGACGGUCUCUACAAACAUCGGCACUUCUUUGAUCAGCCCUUUGGUGAGGAUUUAAAGAGAAUGACCAACCCUUCUCCCGGUCUCGAUAUAGUCGACAUGGCCUGCGGGACCGGAUACCUGUCUAAGGUGUUAGACAAACAAGGUAUCAAAACUACUAUUCUAGUGGAGCCAUGUAAAGAAUUGUUAACAUUGAGUGAGUCUGCCUUUCCGUCGGCCAAGGCCUACUGCAUGGAUGCGCUUGAGUUCUCGAAGCAACCGAUCAAGUAUGACCGUAUUGUGAUCAACGGAGCUUUCCACCUUUUCCCACUGGGCACGCUUGAGGAGACAGUCCUCAACUUCCGGUCGCAGUUGCGUAGUGGUGGGAUGGUCAUCAUCAUAUCACAAAUUAUCAGUCCUAUGUUUAAAGCUGCACGAGGAAUCGUUCACGACACCAGCUACGCGGGUAUCAAAGCUCUUAAAGCUGCUGGCUUUGAAGUCGCGUCCGAACCGAUGGUAACCAGGUACCAGUUCGAAAUACCACGAGAAGACUACGAAAAAUUGCAUAGAUCACGUUUCCUCUCCGAAGAACGCGAACUUACAGAUGACGAGAUUGAACGUGGAAUAAAUGAGAUGAAUUUGUCCGACCCAGUUGUGUGCGAGUACAAGCACAUAUGGGUCAUUGCUUCAAAACAGUAGGCCUAAUUAGUACUCAAGGGCUGAAUAGGGAAGAAUUCGACAAACACACUUUUAGAAAUCGAGAAUAUUACUUUGACAACAUUUCCUUCACCAUUCGCAUCAAUCCUGACAGCGCCGCUAAUUCUUUGCUCGGCACUAAUCUACCGAGUGAUAAAAACGUUUUGUUUUUGAGUAAGGUUAAUAGAAUAUUUUCGUGAUUGGCUCAAAACCCCCAAAUAAUUGAUUUGCAUCGUUUAGAUACCAUACCAUACUUUUUACAUUUAUAUCAAUGGAAGACCAAAGGCUGAAACUUCUUUUACACACUAUCUGGUUGUCAGUAGGGUGAAGCGAAAAGGCGAGAGGACAAAGCUAAGGCUAAAUUAGGUCCAUUAUCAACAAAUCCCUUCCUAAAUCUGUACUAUUGGUGAAGGAUACGCUGAUACGGAUAUAAGCAGACCACAUUAAAGGCCAUCCCUGGCUCAAAGCAAGCCUUGGGCGAUCCUUAGAGACUUGAGACGAAAUCUUGGGAGACUGAUCCUCCUGCUGAGGUCAUUUAAUCGAGUGUGGUUUUGAUAUCGCUUCAAAGUUACCCGAUGGAGUCUUAAGUCAUUUCUUCUUUGAGGUUUUCUAACUAUUCAUCAAUUUACUUGUAUGUAGCCAAACAAAGCGAAUGUUAAAGAUAAUAAAUGAUAAUAAAUAGGAAAAUGUGUCUGAGUGAUGUCUUUUCUUUCAAGCAAACCUCUUGCAACUAUCUUGCAUGUCAAGGCAAAGCUUCUUCUCUGUCUUUUUAAAAAAAGGAAGAAAUUCAAAAGACGCCAGCACGGUUAGGUUUCUUCACCGAUGAGGAUGUAAAAACUCGAUUUCUUAGAGUGGUCUUAAAGCAGAGUUUCCUAGUUGGCCAUUACAGAAUAAAAUGUAUUGAAUGGUGCGAUAUCGUUCUUUUAACGACAUGCAUGUAUAGUGAAAACAUUUCACUCCACCACUGACCCUUAACAAAUGGUGGUCGACUGCCUAAAUAACCAGCAAUCAUGAUUGCUCGAGUGUGGCCCAGCGGUCAAGAAGUAUCCUACCCCGGAGAAGCCUAAUUACUCUGUUAAUAAUCGACCCACUGGACGUUGGUUGUUAACGACUGUCAACCAACCAACCAACAUGUAUGUUAAUACCAUGUAGGCCUACACAGUAUAGGUAUGUUUAUACACUGUACACUGUCUACAUGAAUAAAGUAAAUGUACCUAAAAAAAGCCACUUCAUAAUUAUCAUAGGGUAAUCGAUAUCGAUAUGAAAUGUAUUGUCCUCUGCCUGGGUUUCUAGUGUAGUGUGUGCCUGGAUAGUGUUGGAUCUGUGUGAUACGUUUGUUUUGCAGAGUUUGCAACUGCAACUAAGCUAUAUAUCCUACAGACAGCUUCCUUUAUAGUCAGUGGAAAACCGAAGCCAGAUAUGAGUAAUAUAAUCGCCUAUUAUUCUAAAAAAGCAGCGAACUAUGACGGUCUCUACAAACAUCGGCACUUCUUUGAUCAGCCCUUUGGCGAGGAGUUAAAGAGAAUGACCAACCCUUCUCCCGGUCUCGAUAUAGUCGACAUGGCUUGCGGGACCGGAUACCUGUCUAAGGUGUUAGACAAACAAGGUAUCAAAACUACUAUUCUAGUGGAGCCAUGUAAAGAAUUGUUAACAUUGAGCGAGUCUGCCUUUCCGUCGGCCAAGGCCUACUGCAUGGAUGCGCUUGAGUUCUCGAAGCAACCGAUCAAGUAUGACCGUAUUGUGAUCAACGGAUCUUUCCACCUUUUCCCACUGGGCACGCUUGAGGAGACAGUCCUCAACUUCCGGUCGCAGUUGCGUAGUGGUGGGAUGGUCAUCAUCAUAUCACAAAUUAUCAGUCCUAUGUUUAAAGCUGCACGAGGAAGCGUUCACGACACCAGCUACGUGGGUAUCAAAGCUCUUAAAGCUGCUGGAUUUGAAGUCGCGUCCGAACCGAUGGUAACCAGGUACCAGUUCGAAAUACCACGAGAAGAAUUCGAAAAAUUGUAUAGAUCACGUUUCCUCGCCGCUGAACGCGACCUUACAGAUGACGAGAUUGAACGUGGAAUAAAUGAGAUGAAUUUGUCCGACCCAGUCAUGGGCGAGUACAAGCAUGUGUGGGUCAUUGCUUCAAAACAGUAAUCAGUGCUCAAGGACUGAAUAGGGAAGAAUGCGAGUGUGCUUUUAAUAUCGCUUUAAAGUUACUCGAUGGAGUCUUCAGUCAUUUCUUCUUUGAGGUUUUCUAACUAUUCACCAAUUUACUUGUAUGCAGCCAAACAAAGCGAAUGUUAGAGAUAAUAAAUGAUAAUAAAUAGGAAAA